AGCGAACGCUGGCGGCAGGCCUAACACAUGCAAGUCGAACGAACCCUUCGGGGUUAGUGGCGGACGGGUGAGUAACACGUGGGAACGUACCCUUAGGUUCGGAAUAACUCAGGGAAACUUGAGCUAAUACCGAAUGUGCCCUUCGGGGGAAAGAUUGAUCGCCUUUGGAGCGGCCCGCGUCUGAUUAGCUAGUUGGUGAGGUAAAGGCUCACCAAGGCUACGAUCAGUAGCUGGUCUGAGAGGAUGACCAGCCACACUGGGACUGAGACACGGCCCAGACUCCUACGGGAGGCAGCAGUGGGGAAUCUUGCGCAAUGGGCGAAAGCCUGACGCAGCCAUGCCGCGUGGAUGAUGAAGGUCUUAGGAUUGUAAAAUCCUUUCACCGGUGAAGAUAAUGACUGUAGCCGGAGAAGAAGCCCCGGCUAACUCCGUGCCAGCAGCCGCCGUAAAAC
rnacentral:rRNA from 1 species